AGGUGGUUGUCAGUGUUUGAUAAAGGCAAAAACAGAUUUUAGUACUUCAGCAGAAAUGGAGAGAAUCACAUGUAUGUCUCUUCUGCUCACAGCUGUGGUCAGUUCUUCUGCA